GGGUCGAGACUUGUUUAAUGAUUGACAGCGAUACUUAAGAAAAACUUGAAGAUUAUUUUUACAGAUUUGAGGAAAUUGAAAUAUUUUUGUUUUUCGCUGAUUUUGAUAGAAAACAAAAAUUCAAGCUGUACAAAAGUUUUUUCAUUCAUUAUUUUUGUAGUACACUGAACUUUAGCAAAUUGCAAGGUUCUAAUGUUAGAAGAGUAACUGGAGUUACUCUAGAUGUUUUGUGAGCUUAUCGGCAUUUAGCUUAAAGGUUUUAAGCGACAGGAUAAGCUACUGACACUGAAAACUGGAAAAGUUCAGGUUUGGGUGUUGAGUACUGGUACCUGAGUGUGGUACCGGAACCGCUGAGAGUG
rnacentral:lncRNA from 1 species